CGAUUUUAAAGUUUAGAAAGCCAAAGUCAUGGCUUUUACAUUCGGCCAAGCUUAGAUUCUCAAUUAGGAUCAAGAUAAACAAAUACCGGAACUUGAUCGGGGGAAACAAAAGUUAGACGGGUAGACGAAAGUAUUCGAGCAAAUACGAGAUUCGGAAGCUAGCUCGAUUUCGGACGAGGUCGGAGAUUUGCUAUCACACUAUCAAAACGAUUUUUGAUACUUUUGAUCAAGCUAUGUGAUAUGGCUUGAGUUGGAAAUGUUUAGUUUAGAAUGGAAACAUUAUGUGUUAUGUUCAUUUUGGGUGCACUUUGAUAA